AUCCAGCUGACGAGUCCCAAAUAGGACGAAACGCGCGUCAAGCUGGAU
rfam:Schistosoma mansoni strain Puerto Rico chromosome 2, complete genome